CGCCUCGGUGUCAAAAGUCAAACAGCUGUGUUUCUGUGACACUAACUCUGUAAUAACGAGUUUCUGCGCAGGUGAGGCGCCAGCAGGCAGCAGCGAAGCGGAAAUGGAGAGCGCCGUCCGCUGCGGCUACUUAUACUUCCGUUUCACCAACAGUGGAAAGACUUUUCCAAAGAAGAACUUCGUUCAGCUCUGCCGCGGCCACGAGAAUGGCUUUUCGCAGCUGCUUGUCUACGAGGACGAGCGGAGUUCCAUGGCAAUGAGCAACUGCCUGUGCAUGAUCCUCGGGCAGGAGGCGGAGGAGGCGAAGGAGUGGCAAGGG